GCCCUCUUAUUUCAGUGGUAGAAUAUUUCUUUCCUACGACAUUCUCAAGCAGGUGUUGCUUACUGAAAGGAAACGGUCGCGGGUUCGACCCCCGCAGAGGGUU